rnacentral:rRNA from 1 species
GAUGAACGCUGGCGGCGUGCCUAAUACAUGCAAGUCGAGCGAACAGACGAGGAGCUUGCUCCUCUGACGUUAGCGGCGGAGGGGUGAGUAACACGUGGAUAACCUACCUAUAAGACGGGGAUAACUUCGGGAAACCGGAGCUAAUGCCGGAUAAUAUAUUGAACCGCAUGGUUGAAUAGUGAAAGACGGUUUUGCUGUCACUUCUAGAUGGAUCCGCGCCGCAUUAGCUAGUUGGUACGGUAACGGCUUACCAAGGCAACGAGGCGUAGCCGACCUGAGAGGGUGAUCGGCCACACGGGAACUGAGACACGGUCCAGACUCCUACGGGAGGCAGCAGUAGGGAAUCUUCCGCAAUGGGCGAAAGCCUGACGGAGCAACGCCGCGUGAGUGAUGAAGGUCUUCGGAUCGUAAAACUCUGUUAUGAGGGAAGAACAAAUUUGUAAGUAACUAUGCACGUCUUGACGGUACCUAAUCAGAAAGCCACGGCUAACUACGUG